rnacentral:pre_miRNA from 1 species
GAGAAAAAAUUAACAUCAGAUGGCCUCUAGAGUUUCCUCAAACACUUCAUUAGAAAUUAAUGUAGAGUCCUAAUUAAUUCAUUCUCUCUCUCUCUCUCUCUCUCUCUCUCUCUCUCUACUGAAAGUGUUUGGGGGAACCCUUGGAGUCAUUUGAUCCAUAUAUAAACC